GACGAACGCUGGCGGCGUGCUUAACACAUGCAAGUCGAACGAAGAGCGAUGGAAGCUUGCUUCUAUCAAUCUUAGUGGCGCACGGGUGAGUAACGCGUAAUCAACCUGCCCUUCAGAGGGGGACAACAGUUGGAAACGACUGCUAAUACCGCAUACGAUCUAAUCUCGGCAUCGAGGAUAGAUGAAAGGUGGCCUCUACAUGUAAGCUAUCACUGAAGGAGGGGAUUGCGUCUGAUUAGCUAGUUGGAGGGGUAACGGCCCACCAAGGCGAUGAUCAGUAGCCGGUCUGAGAGGAUGAACGGCCACAUUGGGACUGAGACACGGCCCAGACUCCUACGGGAGGCAGCAGUGGGGAAUCUUCCGCAAUGGACGAAAGUCUGACGGAGCAACGCCGCGUGAGCGAUGACGGCCUUCGGGUUGUAAAGCUCUGUUAAUCGGGACGAAAGGCCUCCUUGCGAAUAGUGAGAAGGAUUGACGGUACCGGAAUAGAAAGCCACGGCUAACUACGUG
rnacentral:rRNA from 1 species